rnacentral:rRNA from 1 species
CCUACGGGUGGCAGCAGUGAGGAAUAUUGGUCAAUGGACGAGAGUCUGAACCAGCCAAGUAGCGUGAAGGAUGACUGCCCUAUGGGUUGUAAACUUCUUUUAUAUGGGAAUAAAACAGGGUAUGCAUACCCUCUUAUAUGUACCAUAUGAAUAAGGAUCGGCUAACUCCGUGCCAGCAGCCGCGGUAAUACGGAGGAUCCGAGCGUUAUCCGGAUUUAUUGGGUUUAAAGGGAGCGUAGGUGGAUUGUUAAGUCAGUUGUGAAAGUUUGCGGCUCAACCGUAAAAUUGCAGUUGAAACUGGCAGUCUGGAGUACAGUAGAGGUGGGCGGAAUUCGUGGUGUAGCGGUGAAAUGCUUAGAUAUCACGAAGAACUCCGAUUGCGAAGGCAGCUCACUGGACUGCAACUGACACUGAUGCUCGAAAGUGUGGGUAUCAAACAGGAUUAGAUACCCUAGUAGUC